UACAGAGGUCUCAACCGUUGUUCGGAUUCAUUGGGCGUAAAGGGUGCGUAGGCGGUCGCGCAAGUCGGAUGUGAAAUCUUAGGGCUCAACCCUGAAACUGCAUUCGAUACUGCGUGGCUCGAGUACUGGAGAGGAGACUGGAAUUUACGGUGUAGCAGUGAAAUGCGUAGAUAUCGAGAGGAACACCAGUGGCGAAGGCGGCCAUCUGGACCAGCACUGACGCUGAGGCACGAAAGCGUGGGGAGCAAACAGG
rnacentral:rRNA from 1 species